AAACAGCAGUCGGAUACAGUUCUCUUAAAUUCCAAAAAUUAGAAAUGAUAUAUACAUUAUUCUUAUAAAGUGCCAUCAUCAAAUGAAAUCCAGAAUAACUACUGCUCUAUCUCUAUCGAAUACUUGGAAAGUAAACAACUUUGAACAUACUAUCAUGAUUUGGCAGCUUCUUCAUCAUCAACCUCACUAUCCCAUGAUAACUCUUCCUCCGCAGCACUCAUACGUUUCCUUAAAUCAGCUUUGUUCGGGCUUGUUCUCUCGGGUACCUUGAUCUCAUCACCACUUGCAAUAUCUUCAAUCUCAUCCCACCCAAGAUCAUCUCCCUCGUGCGAAGACACUUGGCUGGAAAUAACUGAAAAAUCACUGUUAUCAUUCUUACCUUCUGAACUCCCCUUAUCAUCCACUCUCCCUGCCAAAAUUCCUUUAACAUCCCCGCCAUCAUCACUUGUGAUCUCUAAAGCUGUUUCUUUCUCGUCUUCUCUACUUACCGAACUAUCCAUUUUCUUCACAACUUCUUCUUUUGCUACGUUUUCACUUGCAACACCGUUGCUCCCUUCUGUAUUCUCAUCAUCUUCAUCAUCAACAUCCCAACUCAAUUCCUCUUCUUCCUCACCCGAGAUCGCCCUAUUCACAAGCCUGACCCUUGCUUCAUCAGCUUUCCUUAUUCUAUAAACCUUGUAAAAAUAUCUACUCCAGAAUGUCUCGUGAUCAAUCCUACUUGGAACCAACUCGCUGUAUAUCUCAUUUAUUACACCAUUUUCCUUAAUCAAACCCUCAAUUUCCCCAUUCAUCUCCACUAAUACAAAUCCCAGUUUCCACUCAUUAUAAUCAAUCAUAUCCUCUGGUUCAUCGCAAUACGUUUUCGCAUCACACUGGGUUGCUCGAAUUGUUGCAUCGAUUCUACUAUAAGGUUUGGCAUUCAAGUUCAAAUUCUGCUCUAAACUACUACUUCUCCCUAAACUUCUCCUACUGCUAUUUUCAAAUAACUCACUGUCAGAAUCAUUAUCAAGGAUCGACUCCUUACCAUGAGCAAUAAUCUCCGAUACAGUGGAGCCGAUAUUAUCAAUAGCUUGUCCAACCGAUUCUAGCGAUUCCUGAGCAACGGCGGCGCCUGAUUCAAACCUAGCCGGCAAGUCCUUCACGGCUCGGCUAGCUACUUCUCGGAUUGUAGCGGUUUCAAUUUUCAACCCGGAGCUGAAUUCCUCGAAAUCGCGGCGGUAGUUUUGAACAACGGAUUCCGAUUUCGAUGCUAUGGUUCUGAACAAAGUUGAACCGAAAGUCCAUGCGUUCGUUAUGGCUGGAACAUCAUGGUUAGGGUUAGGGUUUGGAGAUUCUGGUUGAGAUUGAGAAUUUGAUGGAGAAGUAGGGGCAUCUUCGGUAUCGGAAAAUUCUGGAUCGUCGGCGAAUACGGAUUUGAAGAAAUCCAUGAGGUGAGAAAUUGAAAAGUUGAGUUUCGAUUUAUUAUAUAUUGCUGUUGAACAAACGCUGUAGGGUCUAAACCUUCGCCGGAAAAUUCUCAACGGCGGCGGAGACGUACAGGCGAUAAUCUCCGAUGGA
rnacentral:misc_RNA from 1 species